GCAUGUGAGCAUGUGGGAGUGGGAUCAGCUGCUUACAGCAGUCGACAAUGAUAAACGGAUCAAUCAACAAACCUACAUUUUAUACUAAUAUAUUUUAACGUUUUCCAAGUAGGCUAUCGAUCAGAUAAAAUUAACUGCCGGACUGAUUGAUCGCUACAAAAUAUUAAAAGUUUUAUCCCUUUUCACCAGCCAACAUGCUGAGGAUUCAUUAAAAUCAGUUAUAAGGAACGAAAACGUAGGCGAAAAAUACUGGAGCAAAAUGCAGGAUUACGAGCCUUGCCCGCGUUUCGCUCAUCAGCUGGUCUACAAUUACGUGAAAAAAGUUCACUAUUUGUUCGGUGGGAAUCCAGGUCGUUCUUGCUUACCGAAAUUACGAUUAAGAUCCAAUCCAAAACAUAAUGCAAAAACCGUGAUGACGGGGAAAAGCGAAACUCGAGGACGAGGGAAUUGUUAAAACGGAGGUCUGAGUGAGAGAAGAUAAUACACGGAGACAACUUCAAAGACGGGCCAACGAACCCCAUUAUCGAGUGGAAGGACAGAGAGGAAAAACACGAUACAAAUAUGCGAAGCACUGUGAUACAUUACGAAAAAUGUAUUUACCAACGAGAAAGUCACCGAAAAUAAUACCAACGUAUAUACUCCAAUUGAUGCGCAAAUGAUAGACGCGUCAGUGGAGGAAACUUGAGAUCGACAACCUUCUUUACUCUCCAUUCUAUGAAUAUGGAUUUAUCUGUAUUUGUUAAUAAACUUGUAAUUCAUCGUAUCCAUAUACAUAUUCGAUAUAUACAAAUUCAUAACACCAUUUCCUUUCUUCUUUCGUUUGAUCUUUCAGCGAAAACGCAUUUAAAAAACGAAUGCGAAUAUGAAUUUGUCUGUAUUUGUUAAUAAACUUGUAAUUCAUCGUAUCCAUAUA